rnacentral:lncRNA from 1 species
GUCGCAGUGAGAUUCCGUCUCAAAUAAAAAACAACAACAACAACGACAAAAACAGUCCACGUUAAGACAGAAUUCUUGUCAGUUGUGGAAAGAGAAAUGCUCUCCUUCACCUAUUUCUCUGUUGAGGCAGCCUGAGCAUGCGACUGUCCUGUGACACACCUUCAUUUCGGAUGCUGUGCCCGGCCCCGGGCUCCCCACUUUUCCACGGUGGAAUCCACAUGUGCAUUUUGUAGUCAUGGCUUUUACUCACAAUUUUCCCUCUAGAUGCAAACGCGUCUCCAUGAGGAAGAGCAAGGCUCCUGCAGGAUGGAGAUCAGAUGGAUCAGGGAUCCCACAGACAGAACCUUUUGCCUGAUAUGAGCACCCUUGGGAGAGACCUCUUCACACAAAUGUUCCUUGCAAGGAAAACACUCCUGCCUCACUUUCUUCAACCCAGCCAUGACCUUUCUUGGGACAGGGUCACACCAGGGUUACAGCAUCUGCCUCCCAGCCUCCCAGCUGGCCAGCCCUUCUGCAGUGGCUCAGCCGCAGACCCCUCCUGCACACCACAGCCAAAAACGAUUCUGCCAGGACUACAGCAUCCCGUGAAACUGACGCUUAAUGAUGCAGAACUCCACGUUUCCUGUCGUCAACUUGUCAUCAUUUUCCUUCCCAGAACCCCCAGCACCUCUGACACCGACCUGGAUCUCUACUCCAGAAACUCAAAACCCAUUUUUGCCACACCGUCACGCUAGCUCUCCUUUGCUCCCCUAAUCCAGGUCCCCGUUUCUCUGCACCUGUGCCCACCACCGGGAAUCUCUCCUGUUAAGUCGCCUCCUCCAUCCCGCCUUCUCCUGACCCCGUUGGCCCAUGCGUCUUUGAACUUUUGCAGAAUUUGCAUCUGUAACAAAUUACUUGCUAUUUAAUUAUGUUCUGUCAUAUUAUUCCUGUUGAAUUUGGCUGAGAACCAUGCGCUCCUUGAAAGCAGAAACUGUCUUUGUUGUUCUGUGUCCUGAUUCAACCCACUAGCCCCAGAGCACGUCUGCAGGAAAGGCCUUCUAAGCUCAGGUCAUCAAGCUCCUCCCAACUGCACUCUUUUACUUCUGUUUUUCCAAGUCGAUCUUUUUUUAAAAAAAAACAAAAAACUUAAAUGAAUUCAUUAUUAAAAAAACUUUUUAUCACCUCCAGAAAUGGAAAACUGUAUCAUUUGCCAUCAGUAGAAUUUGGCUGUAAAAGCAAAUUCCAUGUAAACAGAACAAUGCUGUUGGGUCCUACUUCCUCAGUCUGAGACCUGCUCUUUCUCCCGUGGUCAUGGAGACUCCAAGUUCUAAAGACAUACUAGGAACAGAGAGCAGCUUUUAUUGUAUCCAGAAGAAGAGAGACAGAAAAAAACAGAACCACCUGAAAAGUGAACAACUUCCUCACUCUGUGAUUGGCAGUUGUUGAAUCCAGUGAACAGGCACCACCAAAGAUCACCCUCAGCCCACACCUCAGGACCCUCUGGUACAGACUCCAAAAUCUACCACUUACUGUGUGAGUUCCAAGUAACAAACUCUGAGUAUUAUCUUAUUUAACUCACUCUGGGGUGAGUUCUCUAAGGAAGAACCCAUUAUUAUCCCGCUUUCCAGAUGAGGAAACUGAACAUAGCAGGAGAAAGAAGCUUGACCACAACCACACAGUAGUAAGUGACUAAGUCAGGACCCAGUGAGGAUAAACAGUCAUCCUAAGUUUUAUAAGACAGAAAAUUUAAUUACAGGGACUUCCUAGAUGGUAGAAGAGCCAAAACGUCAGACAAGGGACAUUGAGGCAACCCUGGUGUCCACAGCAUCAGGAAGUGGCUACCACCUCUCAGAUGCACAAGGAAGGAGGCAGUUAUCAGAGCCCAGGAAUCAGACUCACUGAAGGGAAGCUAGAACCAGGGUGGGUCUCUGUGGCAGGAGCUGGCUUGUAGAAGGAAAGAGCCUCCAGGCAAGACAGCCCAACAAACAGAGUCAAGAAGCCCACCCAGACUCCUGUACACACCCAUGUCCCUCCAGGCUUCCCAUUGGUCCAACCCAGUCAGAAGCCAGAGACACAGGAACCCGGGGCUCAUAGCCUGCAGAGGCCAGACCCCCCAUGAUACAGGGCAGAGCAGGGGUGGAUGGGAGGAGGGGGAUGCUUUGAGACCACCAGGCACAGGCUCACCCAGGUGGUCUUAUUCUGGGGUCUUUUCACUCACACAAACCAUGUUGUAGUUGACUAUUGGAUUUCAUGAGAUAAGAGUUCAUGUGUGUUCUUCCCCAUUCCAAGAAGAGGUGGGCUCUUCCUACUUCCUAGCUACCUG